CCCGGCGACCGGCGCACGGGUGAGUAACACGUAUGCAACCUGGCCGCCACAGGGGGAUAACCCGCGGAAACGCGGCCUAAUACCCCGUGACGCCACCGGAGGGCAUCCUCCGGUGGCCAAAGGAGCGAUCCGGUGGCGGAUGGGCAUGCGGCGCAUUAGCUAGACGGCGGGGUGACGGCCCACCGUGGCGACGAUGCGUAGGGGUUCUGAGAGGAAGGCCCCCACACUGGGACUGAGACACGGCCCAGACUCCUACGGAAGGCAGCAG
rnacentral:rRNA from 1 species